rnacentral:tRNA from 1 species
ACUUGCUGGCGAGGUUGUUGCGCGCGGUGAUGGUGCGCGGAUCGGCACUGCCGUGCGACUCGACGUGCUCGUGC